GACGAACGCUGGCGGCGUGCUUAACACAUGCAAGUCGAGCGGUAAGGCCCUUUCGGGGGUACGACGAGCGGCGAACGGGUGAGUAACACGUGGGUGACCUGCCCUCAGCUCUGGGAUAAGCCUGGGAAACCGGGGUACUAAUACUGGAUAUGACUCCAUGACGCAUGUUGUGGGGUGGAAAGCCUUGUGCGGCUGAGGAUGGGCCCGCGGCCUAUCAGCUUGUUGGUGGGGUGA
rnacentral:rRNA from 1 species